rnacentral:rRNA from 1 species
GACGAACGCUGGCGGCGUGCUUAACACAUGCAAGUCGAACGGGAAGGCCCUGCUUUUGUGGGGUGCUCGAGUGGCGAACGGGUGAGUAACACGUGAGUAACCUGCCCUUGACUUUGGGAUAACUUCAGGAAACUGGGGCUAAUACCGGAUAGGAGCUCCUGCUGCAUGGUGGGGGUUGGAAAGUUUCGGCGGUUGGGGAUGGACUCGCGGCUUAUCAGCUUGUUGGUGGGGUAGUGGCUUACCAAGGCUUUGACGGGUAGCCGGCCUGAGAGGGUGACCGGCCACAUUGGGACUGAGGUACGGCCCAGACUCCUACGGGAGGCAGCAGUGGGGAAUAUUGCACAAUGGGCGGAAGCCUGAUGCAGCAACGCCGCGUGCGGGAUGACGGCCUUCGGGUUGUAAACCGCUUUCGCCUGUGACGAAGCGUGAGUGACGGUAAUGGGUAAAGAAGCACCGGCUAACUACGUG